AACAAGGAUUCCCCUAGUAACUGCGAGUGAAGCGGGAAAAGCUCAAAUUUAAAAUCUGGCGGUCUUUGGCCGUCCGAGUUGUAAUCUAGAGAAGUAAUGCCCGUGCUGGACCGUGUAUAAGUCUCCUGGGAUGGGGCGUCAUAGAGGGUGAGAAUCCCGUCUUUGACACGGACUACCAGUGCAUUGUGGUAUGCUCUCAAAGAGUCGAGUUGUUUGGGAAUGCAGCUCAAAAUGGGUGGUAAAUUCCAUCUAAAGCUAAAUAUUGGCGAGAGACCGAUAGCGAACAAGUACCGUGAGGGAAAGAUGAAAAGAACUUUGGAAAGAGAGUUAAACAGUACGUGAAAUUGCUGAAAGGGAAACGCUUGAAGUCAGUCGCGUUGGCCAGGGAUCAGCCUUGCUUUUGCAUGGUGUACUUUCUGGUUGACGGGUCAGCAUCAAUUUUGACCGCUGGAAAAGGGCCUGGGGAAUGUGGCAGCUUCGGCUGUGUUAUAGCCCCUGGUCGCAUACAGUGGUUGGGAUUGAGGAACUCAGCACGC
rnacentral:rRNA from 1 species